GAAAGGUUACUCCCGUAUAGUCGUACUCGGUAACGGAGGGAACUCAGUUUUGUUCCCCCCAGGACACAGAAAGACGGUAUACCAGCUAGUGUUUCCUUUUCGUUUGUUAUUUAAAUAAACACCCUUGAAACUGAGCUAAUCCAACUCUGUCUUUAUCUGAUCUAUGUAAAUGUCUUGACCAAACCCCCUGGUCUGCCAUAAGUGGUGUAGAAUGAGGGCAUUCUGAUUACCUGGUCAGAUCAGGGUUGACGUUCACAUAGCAUCAGCAUGAACGAGUUGAUAGCUCAGUUCGUCCGGGUCCAACAAGCACAACAGAUGGUUCAGGAACGAACUCUGGAGGAACAGCGGCUACAAAAUUCCCACCUCGUUGAGUAAGCUACAAGGAGGAGUGCCUCCUGAAUUGCAUCCAAACCAGUUUUUAAUUAAGCUAACGAAGAUGAAGGCAUCACCCGCUGGUCCCCCUACCAAUGACCGGGGUACCCUUUGAACCCAUCACCAAGGACAUAGUGGGACCCCUGGUAAAAAAAGAAGACGCAUGAGGACACCGAUCAAAGAGAUCCAGACUUCCAUCUUUCAACUGUAGAUGGAUCGGCUCGUCGAGUGGUUCAAUAAAACGCACAAAUGCUGUGGAAGGUCAUCGAGCAGGACGGGAAGAACUGGGACCAGCUACUACCCCACCUAAUGUUCUCGAUCCACAACGCGCCCAAUCCCAGGUCUACAAUCUGGGAACCCAGCCCCGAGAAUUCCCGGUGGCAGACAAGGUGUUGGUCUUAAUCCCCACGGCUGAAAGUAAGCUCCUUGCAACAUGGCAUUGUGCAUGGUACAGCCCCAUUGUAUUGGUGCCCAAACCAGGCGGUAGCCUGCGCUUCUGUAUUGAUUUCCGGGGUGUGAAUGACAUCAGCUUGUGAGACACCUCCCUCAUGCCGAGGGUGGAGAAGCUUAUCGACCGAUUGGGAAAUGCCCGGCACAUCAGCACCCUCGACCUGACCAAAAGAUAUUGGCAGGUACAGUUGGCAGCGGUGUGGGUGAACGGAUAAUCUCUGCAUGUGUAUUUCCCACCGUAAAGAAUGGAGGGGGAGGUGUUAUGGUGUGGGGGUGAUUUGCUGGUGACACAAGCAUGGCUACCACAGCAUUCUGCUACGAUACGCCAUCCCAUCUGGUUUGGGCUUAGUGGGAAUAUCAUUUGUUUUACAACAAAUUUGAUUGAUUGAUUUUUACAUGCUUCUAUAGUUUAAACAAGGCAAGUCAACUAGAAUUGGAAUGGAAAUACUGUAUAGUCAAUGGAUUACACGGUUCUGGGUGAAGGUGUUUUGCACCAAAAGGUUUUCUCAAAGCCCUCUCAUAACAAUCACACUGGUCGCACGUACGACAGGAAGAGCUCAAGUGAACAUAACUGAGUGUUUGUGUAAAGCUUAGUGGGAUUACGGUUUUAUUCUGUAGACUGUUGACUUUCCUGAUUGUGUAUUGCCCCUGUACUUUUGAACUCAUAAUGUAGAAAUACAAUGUGGAUUUUCUGGUCAUGGUUGUAAAAUAGGAUUUUCACAGGCAUCUGUAUAUUUAUCCUUCUUUUUAAUUUUUUUAAAUUUCUUAUUCCAACUGGGUUUGAACCUGGUUUUGAACGAAUGAAUACACAUUUGGUUUUUAUAUAUUUA